CUAAAAAACCGACAUACAGACCAUCUCUGAUAAUGCGGAAAAAUGCGCAUGUUUACAAAUAGAAUGAAUAAAUUCCAAACGCAAUAAAUUGGAGGACAUUGUAGAAAAUUAUAUUGACUUGGAAGCUGAGGAUGAAAGAUAACACAUGUGGAUCAAGUUUUCGUGGUAUUGCACGCUAAGAUUGACGGUGUCGUUAACAACAAAGAGGGGCCCAAAAUUUAAUCGAAAUUUUUUUGUUUUUUAGAACAAUUACAUGAC